CGAACGCUGGCGGCAGGCCUAAUACAUGCAAGUCGAACGGCUCUUCGGAGCAGUGGCGGACGGGUGAGUAACGCGUGGGAAUGUGCCCUUAGGUACGGAACAACACAGGGAAACUUGUGCUAAUACCGUAUGUGCCCUUCGGGGGAAAGAUUUAUCGCCUUUGGAGCAGCCCGCGUUGGAUUAGGUAGUUGGUGAGGUAAAGGCUCACCAAGCCGACGAUCCAUAGCUGGUCUGAGAGGAUGACCAGCCACACUGGGACUGAGACACGGCCAGGACUCCUACGGGAGGCAGCAGUAGGGAAUCUUGCGCAAUGGGCGAAAGCCUGACGCAGCCAUGCCGCGUGUAUGAUGAAGGUCUUAGGAUUGUAAAAUACUUUCACCGGGGAAGAUAAUGACGGUACCCGGAGAAGAAGCCCCGGCUAACUUCGUGCCAGCAGCCGCCGCGGUAA
rnacentral:rRNA from 1 species